AGAUUUUUAAAAAGUUCAUAGAAAAUGUCUGGAGGAUUAGUCCUUAUAUUGGGAGCCAUUGCAUUCGCAGGCUUUUGGACUACAAUGUUCUACAAGGAGACUACAUCUCAUGGCAAAUUUAAAACCAGUGCUUUACUUAGAGCUAAUACGACCGUGCCAAUGCAUAAAAAAAUAGCAGAUGGUUUGGGGCAAAAAUUUAAACAAUAUAACGAAUAUAAGUGAUUUCAACAGAGCACUACCUACCUCCAUCGGUACUCACAGACGAUUCAUGUUAACCGGCGUGUUGUUAUAUUGCUUUUACUUGAUUACGGAAAAAGUGAAGGUCUACCUACCUAACUACAUGCCGAGAUUUUCGGGAGAUGAAAAUGUUUUCGACACCUCACACCAUAUUGGUAAUUUUAGUGAAAUCGAUGUAGGUAAUACAACAAUAUCCAAUUUAUCGCCCAAUUAAUA
rnacentral:lncRNA from 1 species